CCUACGGGUGGCUGCAGUGGGGAAUUUUGGACAAUGGGGGAAACCCUGAUCCAGCCAUUCCGCGUGAGUGAAGAAGGCCUUCGGGUUGUAAAGCUCUUUCGGCAGGAACGAAACGGCGGACUCUAACAUAGUCUGUCAAUGACGGUACCUGAAGAAGAAGCACCGGCUAACUACGUGCCAGCAGCCGCGGUAAUACGUAGGGUGCGAGCGUUAAUCGGAAUUACUGGGCGUAAAGCGUGGGCAGGCGGCUUGGUAAGACGGAUGUAAAAUCCCUGGGCUAAACCGAGGAACGGCGUUCGGGACUGCAAGGCUAGAGGGCGGCAGAGGGGGGUGAAAUUCCUGGUGUAGCAGUAAAAUGCGUAGAGAUCAGGAGGAACACCGAGGGCGAAGGCAGCCCCCGGGGUUGACACUGACGCUCAGGCACGAAAGCGGGGGGAGCAAACAGGAUUAGAUCCCCCUGUAGU
rnacentral:rRNA from 1 species